GACGAACGCUGGCGGCGUGCUUAACACAUGCAAGUCGAGCGGUAAGGCCCUUUCGGGGGUACACGAGCGGCGAACGGGUGAGUAACACGUGGGUGACCUGCCCUUAGCUCUGGGUAUAAGCCUCGGGAAACUGGGUCUAAUACCGGAUAUGACUCCAUGACGCAUGUUGUGGGGUGGAAAGCCUUGUGCGGCUAGGGAUGGGCCCGCGGCCUAUCAGCUUGUUGGUGGGGUGAUGGCCACCAAGGCGACGACGGGUAGCCGGCCUGAGAGGGCGACCGGCCACACUGGGACUGAGACACGGCCCAGACUCCUACGGGAGGGCAGCAGUGGGGAAGUCUUGCGCAAUGGGCGAAAGCCUGACGCAGCGACGCCGCGUGAGGGAUGACGGCC
rnacentral:rRNA from 1 species